AUUCACGGAGGUAACCUGGGCUUCAAUUGGUCUGUCAGCUGCUUUGACUGCUUUGGGCAUCUUUGAAUACAACAAGCCAUGCCCUCGUUGGACACUGGGAAAGGACAAUCUAUCUGCACAUCCAGCCCUAUGGGCUGGAGUCUCCCAAACGAGGCCAUCGUUUGUUUUGGCAACUCUGCUCCACCACAACAUUCAUCAGACUCCUGAGAAAGACGACCGAUGAAGGGAUCCAUAAAUGGUUUCCAGUUUUCUCCCACCGUGUGGACUGGAAGCCCUGAGAACGAACACUGCUUUUCCCUGAAGCCCCGCAAACCGAAGCCAGGCCAGCCGAGGUACACGUGAGAGAAAAGUGGCCCGGUGAUCUAAGGGCCACUCAGAAAGAUCACCAGAGACACACGGAGAGCUGAACAAGCUGAUCGCAGCCAUCCCGACUGGACAAGCUGCCAUCGGAGCAUCCAGACGUGGACGUGUUCACGGAUGGGGACCGUGUCACGGGUCAAAGACAAGGAAGAGCUGGGUGCAGUGGUGACCCAUCAGCUACCGUCCGCUGCGGAAGACGCCACAAAGUGGACCGACUGCCCAAGGGAACCAUGCUGGCAGCCCGUCAAAGACUCCAAGACCCUCUGGAAGAGCUCUCGUGCCAAAGAUAGACUUAACUACAUAUCAACCCCAACGUCCCUUGGAGGACCAAAGAGGAGUUAAGUAAGGAGUGGGGGUUUGGACACCGUGCUGGCCUUGACACCGGCUGGAAAUAGAAGGAAUCCUUACCCUAGAGCAUCUGAUGAAAGAAAUAAUUAGCCACAUUCCUCGAAGCACCCGUUAUGGGAAAGAUGCCCCUCUUCAGUGGAUCCAGAAGUAUACUGCGGGCUCCGGUUUCAGCGAAAUGCUACAAAAGGCAACGCUUGUGCUAAAAACAACCCUAAGACUGGGUGCCCACAAGUUCUCAAGGGUAUACAACUGAGACGCCCCAAACCUGGGGAAGACCGGCACGCAGCCUUUCCCAGAAUGCAAAGAACAAUGGGAAAUUCUCGGGGUUUGCUUGUAUCUGCAGACACCUUUAUCAACGGGGUUGAGGUUCCUCCCUGGUGUUCAGAGAAGGCCUCGGGAGUUGUCAAAAUGCUUUGAAGCGAGAUCAUUUCUAGGUUUGGACUGCCGCUAAUAAUUCAGAGGGACAGUGGAGUGACAACCACAGAGUCCAAGGCCUUGGGCAUUCAGUGGAAAUCACACGCUUCCUGGAGACACCGAGAGAGUGGAAAAAGGGGGAAAAAAUGAACUUUGGCAAAGCUCUGCCAAGAAACCCACUUCACUUGGGAACAACCCGUGCCAUCUGCCCUGCUUUGGGAAAGAGUGGUCCCUAGAAGAGGGCUUGGUUUAAGCCCCUGUGGAAUGUCAUAUGCAAGACUUUCUAUGUUCUUUUCGUGACCUAGGAGGUGCUGGCGGGGCUCCCACCAGCGAUUUGGAUACUAUCAGGUACAUCCAGGGCCUGAGUUUGCUUCCGGCAGGCUGAUGUACCUCACAGAUGUGUCUUCACGCUGCCUGAAUCCCUUGGUGACAUCCAAAGGUGUCACUCAAGAUGUCACUAAAGACCUGAAGAGCGGGAGCCCAGAGGACCAGCUCCAGCCUCACUGUCCAGGUCAGACCCUGCGAGGUGCCGUUGACCCCCCACUCCCCCGAGACUACAGGGAAUUGAGCCGUGGAUUCACACUUGAAUGACAAGAAUCCACAGGUUCCCUACACCUGUCAGCAGGGAGGAGGUCGAAAGGGACCCGGCUCAGACCAGUGAGCCUCUGCUGGACCUGAACCUCCGACGUGGGGGAACUGGUACAAGGGAAUCAAGCCAUGAGGACAACAUGCUGCCUGUUGUUCUCUAGUACCCCUAAAGCCCUAGACACAACAUGGUACAGGAACUAUUGACCAAAGUACAAAAAUCCCGGUAAUGCAGGCCAUUCCUUUCCACCCCAAAGUUUCCCCUUGUCUAACCCCAGUCUCCACCCCACCUCAGCAGGAAGUAACGGCCGCGGCCGGGUGGUGGUCCCAAUACCCACAAGAAUGCGGACGGAUCAAAAGACCCUGGGGACUGAAAAGGGUAACCAAAGGGCUAGCAGCCGCAACUCUGUACCCUGACCUUUUUCCUUCGCCACUAAGUACCCCUGACUCUCCUCCUCUAGGGAGGUGGAUGUGAGGCUCGCCCUCCUGCCUCUGGAAUAAACUCUUGCUUUGCUUUA